rnacentral:rRNA from 1 species
UACGUAGGGCGCAAGCGUUGUCCGGAAUUAUUGGGCGUAAAGAGCUCGUAGGCGGCUUGUCGCGUCGUCCGUGAAAACCUGCGGCUCAACUGCAGGCUGGCGGUCGAUACGGGCAGGCUGGAGUUCGGUAGGGGAGACUGGAAUUCCUGGUGUAGCGGUGAAAUGCGUAGAUAUCCGGAGGAACACCAGAGGCGAAGGCGGCCGACUGGGCUGCACCUGACGCUGAGCCGCGAAAGCCAGGGGAGCGAACGGG